UACAGAGGUCUCAAGCGUUGUUCGGAUUCAUUGGGCGUAAAGGGUGCGUAGGCGGUCAGCUAAGUCAAAGGUGAAAUCUCGGGGCCCAACCCCGAAACUGCCUUCGAUACUGGUUGGCUAGAGGACUGGAGAGGAGACUGGAAUUCACGGUGGAGCAGUGAAAUGCGUAGAUAUCGUGAGGAACACCGGUGGCGAAAGCGGGUCGCUGGACAGUACCUGACGCUGAUGCACGAAGGCCAGGGGAGCAAACGCG
rnacentral:rRNA from 1 species